CUGUGACAGCCAUUCUGUGGGAGGCACAGCAGUGUGCAGAAAGUUAAUGUCUCCAUAGCAAACCAUGGGGAACUGUGGGUCAGAGACUCUCCAGCAUCCUUGGAAGUGGCCUCUUCACAGUCAUCUGAGAACCUGGAGGAAGAUGCUGUUUACAAGACCCACGUGGAGAAGGACUUCAUUGCUUUCUGCUCUUCAACGCCACACAACGUGUCCUGGAGAGACAGCACAAUGGGCUCUAUCUUCAUCACACAACUCAUCACGUGCUUCCAGAAAUAUUCUUGGUGCUGCCACCUAGAGGAAGUAUUUCGGAAGGUAAGUGUCUCUUUUCUAGUUACUCAUUUAUUUCUUCAGGAAGAAUUUGUCAUGAUUCACUUUUUACUUCACAAUGACAAUUUUUGUCAGGGAAGUGAAAGUAGAGAGGUUCCCAGUUUCUGUCAUUCAGUUGUUUAAAAUAUGGCUAAGGAAAAGACAAUUCCAAUAUAUCCCAGCAGAAGAUCAAAGUAAAAUAAAAUAAUAUCAACCAUAAGCUUUAUGUUAUGGACCGUAAGUUCUUAAGUUUUAGAGAAGGAAAAAUAUUUUGAAAUAAUUUUUAUUUCUUAAUUUAUUAAAUGAAUAAAAUCUGGGUGGUCUGCUAGGUCAUGGAUUUCCUCCUGGUGACAGAGGGGUAAAUGAGGCCUACAUGACGUAAUCCUAUCUAGGACUCACAUUUUCGUGGGAGAUAUGGAUAGGGAAAAUGUGGGUUAACAAACAAAUAUGUGCUUACAGAUUGUG
rnacentral:sRNA from 1 species